CCUACGGGGAGCAGCAGUAGGGAAUCUUUCACAAUGGGCGAAAGCCUGAUGGAGCAACGCCGCGUGCAGGAUGAAGGCCUUCGGGUUGUAAACUGCUUUUAUAAGCGAGAAAUAUGAUGGUAACUUAUGAAUAAGGAUCGGCUAACUACGUGCCAGCAGCCGCGGUCAUACGUAGGAUCCGAGCAUUAUCCGGAGUGACUGGGUGUAAAGAGUUGCGUAGGUGGCAUAAUAAGUAGCUAGUGGAAUCUGGUGGCUCAACCAUUCAGACUAUUAGCUAAACUGUUAAGCUCGAGACCGUUAGGGGUAACUGGAAUGUCUAGUGUAGGAGUGAAAUCCGUAGAUAUUAGAAGGAACACCAAUAGCGUAGGCAGGUUGCUGGGACGGUUCUGACACUGAGGCACGAAAGCGUAGGGAGCAAACGGGAUUAGAUACCCCAGUAGUC
rnacentral:rRNA from 1 species